rnacentral:rRNA from 1 species
GAUGAAUGCUGGCGGCGUGCCUAACACAUGCAAGUCGAGCGGCAGCGAGGGGUGCUUGCACCCUGUCGGCGAGCGGCGAACGGCUGAGUAACGCGUAGGAAUUUGCCACAAAGUGAGGAAUAACUGCCCGAAAGGGUAGCUAAUGCCGCAUAUGGUCUUCGGAUCAAAGGAUUUAUCCGCUUUGGGAGAAGCUUGCGUUGGAUUAGGUUGUUGGUAGGGUAAUGGCCUACCAAGCCGACGAUCCAUAGCUGGUCGGAGAGGAUGAUCAGCCAGACUGGCACUGGGACACGGUCCAGACUCCUACGGGAGGCAGCAGUGAGGGAUCGUCCAAAAUGGGCGAAAGCAUGAUGGUGCUACGCCGCGAGAAGGAUGAAGGCAUUCGAGUUGUAAACUUCUUUUAUGAGUGAACAAUAUGACGGUAACUCAUGAAUAAGCCCCGGCUAACUACGUG